rnacentral:misc_RNA from 1 species
AUUGCAAGUACUAAACGUUACAAAUGCUCCUGUAUAAGAAUCACCUUUUAACUAUCAAAAAUAAAGAUGCUACUGCAUAACAAUUAACAUUCAGGUAGGGGAAAUGAACACUCUCUACAAAUUAAAAGGUGAAGAAAUCAGGUCUUCCAAGAAAUUGUCCUCACUACCUGGGAUCGAUCUGCCACUUGCUCCUCCUGCUGGUCUAGAGACACUGGUGAUUUCUUCGAUGUGCUGCAUCUUACACUUCUCAGACUACUUUGACACACUUCACUCGGACAUUGUUGCCAACUAAAUGGGUGCUCAAUAGGUAAUAGCUCAGUUCAAGAAGUCCAUUUCCAUCUGAUUCACAUACUCUUUAACUCCUUCCGUUGAUAGCUAGCAACUCACGAGGCAAUGAAGCGUGAUCGAGUUCCCAACAGUUCUUGGAGAUGUUUGAGGCUUCUUCAUCAGAUAGCUUCCUUGCAGGAAUCUGAUGCGAAAACAACCUAAGCUCAUCCUUUCCUAACAACUUAACA